UACGUAGGGGGCGAGCGUUGUCCGGAAUUAUUGGGCGUAAAGAGCGUGUAGGCGGUUCGGUAAGUCUGCCGUGAAAACCUGGGGCUCAACCCCGGGCGUGCGGUGGAUACUGCCGGGCUAGAGGGUGGUAGAGGCGAGUGGAAUUCCCGGUGUAGCGGUGAAAUGCGCAGAUAUCAGGAAGAACACCCGUGGCGAAGGCGGCUCUCUGGGCAGUAACUGACGCUGAGGAGCGAAAGCGUGGGGAGCGAACAGG
rnacentral:rRNA from 1 species